GGAAAGGAAGGAGGGGGACCUCAUGCGGCAGCGUGCUGUGAGUGCUGUGAAUGAUACUGCAUCCUUCAUUCCUAACAAGUAGUACUUGAAGUGAGGAGUGCCAUGGAAGGUCUGAAACAGACCACAGAUCAGCCCAUAAAACCUGCAGAUCCUGUGGAGCAGCAGGAGACAGCACCAUCUCUUUACCCCUACCCGCAUGAGUCCUGGCCAUCCAGUGGACCCAUCUGAUCUCCACCAUGUCAGAAGAAGCAGAGGAAAAUGAAUAUAGGGUGAAGCUGUAUUAAUUUUCCAUGGGGAAAUCUGCUGGACAUUGGGAAGGAAAAAAUAUGCAUCCUCUUGGCCCUACUUGCAGAUCCAUUUCCACAGAAAUCCCUUGGUAGGGAAAGGGCAGAGGUGGGGGAAGAUAUGCUGCCACAUUAGCUUUGUGUUCCACCCAUCUCUUUCUACAUAGGAAGGAUAUGAACUGUCUAGAGAUCAGAGACAUGAUCAGGAGCUUAAUUUUCAAAUGUACAGAUAGCAUGCGGGGAGGAAAAAUCUACCCAAUGUCAUAUAGAUCUCAAUAUAUAGCCAAAUCCUCAGCUACUGUGAAUGGGCAUAUCUUCACUUAAAUCAACAGAGCCAUGAUCAUUUACAACAGCUGAGGAUGUGGCUCAAUAUUUUCUAGUUGUUAGAAUUAAAUAUUUGUGUUUGAGUAGACUGCAAAGUAGAUUAUGCUGAAGGUUUACUGUCAAUAGUACAGUAUAUUCUUUUUGUCCAGUGAGAAGAGGUUCAGUUUUAUACUCAAGGUUAUCAACUAGGUGAUCUAUAAUAAUAUUUUCUUGUUUAACUUAGAGGCUCAGAAACAGUAAACAGGUGGAAUGUGUACAAGCAAUAUAGUGGCUGGGGAGAACAGCAGCAACCUGACUGAGAAAUAUUGUUUACAGACUUGAUUAUUUAAUGUGACUUGAGAAUCAUUUUAAGACCAUCAACAGUUUGUUCCUAUUGCAGAUAAAUCCCCAUGAAUGCACUAGCAUUUUAUGCAGAAAUAUAUAUAGAGAAUUUUGGUAUCUUGCUGAUCCCUUAUCCAAUUCAACCAUUUGCUUCAUUAUCAUUACUUCAAUUAACUUAGUGCUCAGAGAAAACUGAAGAACUGAAUUAUCAGGAAGCUGUUAAGAUUAAUUUUCAGGCAAAUGAGGUACUAAAUGGGGUUCUUAAGUGAGUAAAAGUGAGUAAAAAUACACUCUGUCUCCAGCAGUAAAACAACAUUCACAGAAAAGGAGGUAUUUUGAUCAUUUCAGCCAUAACUGCCUCUUUAUUCACAUUA